ACCUCUAUAAGGGUGUCGACUUUAUUUUUUAAAAUAGCAACAUACACAAUUAACUAGUUUAUUGAAUAAAUAAUGAUUAGAUUAAGAAAAUGACUGGUCAAUAACAGAUUUUGGUCAGUAUUUCGGAAAUGAUAAGCAUUUUAAAAUAUAGACGGAUUGAGGUACAGUUAAGUAAUUCUUAUAAAUAUUUGAUAAUCGAUAAAAUAUUCUCAAGUAUCCAUAAAAUAAUUUUUUUGUAACUUUAUGUUGAAUGAAUCGUUCACUAUCUUACUUUCGUCAGGAUGCUCAGUAAUAUAGUCACAGUAAUAAUAUGCAAAACGUAUAAAUCUAGUUUGUAAUCAUUACGCAUCAUUCUACGCACUACUUUUCUCAUUCAGGAGAAAUUAUGUGGCCAACGGUAAAUCAAUCAUACUCUAUAUGUGUAUAAGUUUAAGACUUUCCUGAAAAUAUAUUCUAAAUAUAUUUGACAAGUGUCAACUUAAUUGUAGGGAUUUUCGUUUGAGGAUAGAAAAAAAUAAACGCACAUACUGAUGAUGGAUAUCUAAAAAAAAAUACGGAAAUAAGUAUUAUGAUUUAGGUAAGUACUCCUGUUGACUUUAUUUGUUUAGUAUAAUUCAUCAAUCAAUAAAGAACAUGUUUAUCCAAAAAUAAAUAAAUAAGAGUAGCAAUCAACUUUUAUCAUAAAUCAUCCAUUUGAU